rnacentral:rRNA from 1 species
UUGACAUGAGUAACGACAAUGGGUGUGAAAAACACCCACGCCGAAAGACCAAGGGUUCCUGCGCAACGUUAAUCGACGCAGGGUUAGUCGGUUCCUAAGGCGAGGCUGAAAAGCGUAGUCGAUGGGAAACAGGUUAAUAUUCCUGUACUUCUGGUUACUGCGAUGGAGGGACGGAGAAGGCUAGGCCAGCUUGGCGUUGGUUGUCCAAGUUUAAGGUGGUAGGCUGAAAUCUUAGGUAAAUCCGGGGUUUCAAGGCCGAGAGCUGAUGACGAGUCGUCUUUUAGAUGACGAAGUGGUUGAUGCCAUGCUUCCAAGAAAAGCUUCUAAGCUUCAGGUAACCAGGAACCGUACCCCAAACCGACACAGGUGGUCGGGUAGAGAAUACCAAGGCGCUUGAGAGAACUCGGGUGAAGGAACUAGGCAAAAUGGCACCGUAACUUCGGGAGAAGGUGCGCCGGCUAGGGUGAAGGAUUUACUCCGUAAGCUCUGGCUGGUCGAAGAUACCAGGCCGCUGCGACUGUUUAUUAAAAACACAGCACUCUGCAAACACGAAAGUGGACGUAUAGGGUGUGACGCCUCCCCGGUGCCGGAAGGUUAAUUGAUGGGGUUAGCGCAAGCGAAGCUCUUGAUCGAAGCCCCGGUAAACGGCGGCCGUAACAAUAACGGUCCUAAGGUAGCGAAAUUCCUUGUCGGGUAAGUUCCGACCUGCACGAAUGGCGUAACGAUGGCGGCGCUGUCUCCACCCGAGACUCAGUGAAAUUGAAAUCGCUGUGAAGAUGCAGUGUAUCCGCGGCUAGACGGAAAGACCCCGUGAACCUUUACUGUAGCUUUGCACUGGACUUUGAGCCUGCUUGUGUAGGAUAGGUGGGAGGCUUUGAAGCGUGGACGCCAGUUCGCGUGGAGCCAUCCUUGAAAUACCACCCUGGCAUGCUUGAGGUUCUAACUCUGGUCCGUAAUCCGGAUCGAGGACAGUGUAUGGUGGGCAGUUUGACUGGGGCGGUCUCCUCCUAAAGAGUAACGGAGGAGUACGAAGGUGCGCUCAGACCGGUCGGAAAUCGGUCGCAGAGUAUAAAGGCAAAAGCGCGCUUGACUGCGAGACAGACACGUCGAGCAGGUACGAAAGUAGGUCUUAGUGAUCCGGUGGUUCUGUAUGGAAGGGCCAUCGCUCAACGGAUAAAAGGUACUCCGGGGAUAACAGGCUGAUACCGCCCAAGAGUUCAUAUCGACGGCGGUGUUUGGCACCUCGAUGUCGGCUCAUCACAUCCUGGGGCUGAAGCCGGUCCCAAGGGUAUGGCUGUUCGCCAUUUAAAGUGGUACGCGAGCUGGGUUUAGAACGUCGUGAGACAGUUCGGUCCCUAUCUGCCGUGGACGUUUGAGAUUUGAGAGGGGCUGCUCCUAGUACGAGAGGACCGGAGUGGACGAACCUCUGGUGUUCCGGUUGUCACGCCAGUGGCAUUGCCGGGUAGCUAUGUUCGGAAAAGAUAACCGCUGAAAGCAUCUAGGCGGGAAACUUGCCUCAAGAUGAGAUCUCACUGGGAACUUGAUUCCCCUGAAGGGCCGUCGAAGACUACGACGUUGAUAGGCUGGGUGUGUAAGCGUUGUGAGGCGUUGAGCUAACCAGUACUAAUUGCCCGUGAGGCUUGAUC